UGAGUAAUGUCUGGGAAACUGCCUGAUGGAGGGGGAUAACUACUGGAAACGGUAGCUAAUACCGCAUAACGUCGCAAGACCAAAGAGGGGGACCUUCGGGCCUCUUGCCAUCGGAUGUGCCCAGAUGGGAUUAGCUAGUAGGU
rnacentral:rRNA from 1 species